UGUCAGCCACAGAAGGUCUCAACUUCCCA
rnacentral:piRNA from 1 species